rnacentral:rRNA from 1 species
UACGUAGGGAGCAAGCGUUGUCCGGAUUUACUGGGUGUAAAGGGUGCGUAGGCGGCUAUAUCAGUCAGAAGUGAAAUCUAUGGGCUUAACCCAUAAACUGCUUUUGAAACUGUAUAGCUUGAGUGAGGUAGAGGUAGGCGGAAUUCCCGGUGUAGCGGUGGAAUGCGUAGAGAUCGGGAGGAACACCAGUGGCGAAGGCGGCCUGCUGGGCCUUAACUGACGCUGAGGCACGAAAGCGUGGGUAGCAAACAGG